CCCUUAGAUGUUCUGGGCGGCCCGCGCACUACAAUGGCGCUUUCAGCGAGUUCCUAUGUUGAAUUUUCCUUGGUAUUCUUGGAAGCGGCGUCUUGACUUGGGAUAGAUCCUUGUAAUUGUUGGUUUUGAACGAGGAAUUCCUUGUAAUCGCGGUUGAUCAGCUCGCGUUGAAUACGUCCCUGCCCUUUGUACACACCGCCCGUCGCUCCUACCGAUGAAUCGUCCGGUGAAGUUCACAGAGUGGCGGUUCGUGGAGUUGCUCGCGAAGUGAAAUGGACCUCACGAUUUAGAGGAAGGAGAAGUCGUAACA
rnacentral:rRNA from 1 species